AGACGUGCGCAGGCGGUUAUAUAAGACAGAUGUGAAAUCCCCGGGCCUCAACCUGGGAACUGCAUUUGUGACUGUAUAGCUGGAGUGCGGCAGAGGGGGAUGGAAUUCCGCGUGUAGCAGUGAAAUGCGUAGAUAUGCGGAGGAACACCGAUGGCGAAGGCAAUCCCCUGGGCCUGCACUGACGCUCAUGCACGAAAGCGUGGGGAGCAAACAGGAUUAGAUACCCCUGU
rnacentral:rRNA from 1 species